UACUACUUUUUUGGAUCGGGUUUAGUUCGGUUCUUCGGAUCCGGUUUUUUUUCCCGGCCCUAUUACAUAUUAUGUAGAUUUUGGACAAAUAAGUCUUUCCCUGUGCGUGAGAAGGUGCAACCUGUCGGACUUUUUUUUUCUUUUUUUUUUGCUUCAACCUUAUCUUUUCAUGUAUUUCAUGGAAACUGAGAAGUCAUUUUCACUUCUCUCCUUUGCAUACGACAACGAUUCAAGUUUUGGAGCGACCAUUGUGCGUCUCCAAAUCUCAUAGCCAAAAAAGAACGAAUCUAGAUCUGAUUGGAAGGGGUAACUGGCGGAACUACAAAAGAAGGUAUUUUGACACCAUUAUUUUUGCUUUAAACUUUAUUUAUGAUUUUAAUGUUUGGUUCAUGUAAAACGAGCCCCGCCGAAGUUUCUGACGGUACAACUUCUAUAGCUAACAUAAGUUUCUAGGUUCGUGGGUUGAGGCAAAACUUGAUGGAUGAAGAAAAACAUGGGACUAUAUUGUAUGAUGCAUGUAAAUAGUAUAUACAACCGUACGUAUUUUUUUUAGUUCAUGCAUGAUUUUAAUGUUUGGUUCAUGUAAAACGAGUCCUUUGAUCUAUAUACCUUUGGACUUACUGAAAGAAUAUUCUCAGAUAUCCUGUUUAGUUUGUAAAUCUCCUGUAAUAUAGGAAGAUCAUACUCUCCUCUAACAAACUCGAUUAUAUAUGUAACUCUCACAACGAUGAAUAAAUCAAGCAAGUCUUUAGACUA